UCUCCGUAGGUGAACCUGCGGAGGGAUCAUUACAGAGUUCUCGCCCUCGCGGGUGGAUCUCCCACCCUCUGUUAUCGUUACUGUGUUGCUUUGGCGGGCCGCCGGGCCCCGCUCGGCCGCCGGCUCCGGCUGGCGCGCGCCCGCCAGAGGCCCAGCAAACUCUGAAUGUUAGUGUCGUCUGAGUACUAUAUAAUAGUUAAAACUUUCAACAACGGAUCUCUUGGUUCUG
rnacentral:misc_RNA from 1 species